rnacentral:rRNA from 1 species
GUGACUGCGUACCUUUUGUAUAAUGGGUCAGCGACUUAUAUUCUGUAGCAAGGUUAACCGAAUAGGGGAGCCGGAGGGAAACCGAGUCUUAAUUGGGCGUUAAGUUGCAGGGUAUAGACCCGAAACCCGGUGAUCUAGCCAUGGGCAGGUUGAAGGUUGGGUAACACUAACUGGAGGACCGAACCGACUAAUGUUGAAAAAUUAGCGGAUGACCUGUGGCUGGGGGUGAAAGGCCAAUCAAACCGGGAGAUAGCUGGUUCUCCCCGAAAGCUAUUUAGGUAGCGCCUCGUGAAUUCAUCUCCGGGGGUAGAGCACUGUUUCGGCUAGGGGGCCAUCCCGGCUUACCAACCCGAUGCAAACUGCGAAUACCGGAGAAUGUUAUCACGGGAGACACACGGCGGGUGCUAACGUCCGUCGUGAAGAGGGAAACAACCCAGACCGCCAGCUAAGGUCCCAAAGUCAUGGUUAAGUGGGAAACGAUGUGGGAAGGCCCAGACAGCCAGGAUGUUGGCUUAGAAGCAGCCAUCAUUUAAAGAAAGCGUAAUAGCUCACUGGUCGAGUCGGCCUGCGCGGAAGAUGUAACGGGGCUAAACCAUGCACCGAAGCUGCGGCAGCGACGCUGAUGCGUUGUUGGGUAGGGGAGCGUUCUGUAAGCCUG